AAAUGCGAUAAGUAAUGUGAAUUGCAGAAUUCCGUGAAUCAUCGAAUCUUUGAACGCACAUUGCGCCCUCUGGCAUCCCGGGGGCAUGCCUGUCCGAGCGUCAUUACGCACCCUCAAGCCCGGCUUGUGUGAUGGGCCCCGGCGUCUCGUUCGCGAGACGGGCCCGAAAGGCAGCGGCGGCGUCGACCCGAUGAGCCCGAGCGUAUGGGGACUUCUGUCACACGUUCGCGGUGCGGACCGGCGCCUGCUUUGACUUUUCUGAUUAUCCAGGUUGACCUCGGAUCAGGUAGGGAUACCCGCUGAACUUAAGC
rnacentral:misc_RNA from 1 species